GAUGAACGCUGGCGGCGUGCUUAACACAUGCAAGUCGAACGAAGCAUCUAUUAGGAAGUCUUCGGAUGGAGUGAUAGAUGACUGAGUGGCGGACGGGUGAGUAACGCGUGGAUAACCUGCCUUACACAGGGGGAUAACAGCUGGAAACGGCUGCUAAUACCGCAUAAGCGCACAGUGCUGCAUGGCACAGUGCGAAAAGAUUUAUCGGUGUAAGAUGGAUCCGCGUCUGAUUAGCUAGUUGGUGGGUAACGGCCUACCAAGGCGACGAUCAGUAGCCGGCUUGAGAGAGUGAACGGCCACAUUGGGACUGAGACACGGCCCAAACUCCUACGGGAGCUG
rnacentral:rRNA from 1 species